rnacentral:tmRNA from 1 species
GGGGGCGACAGGUUUCGACGGGAAUCAGUGAGGCCCAGGCUGCGUCUCGAGGUUUCUCUCCCCUCGUUAAAUAGAGAGAACGGUAUAGCUGCCGACACUCAGCUAGCUCUGGCGGCCUAACAACCGUCAGUGUCGGCCGGGCCGAGUCAUCAGGGUCCGGGAACCGGCAUCAUACUCUGGUGACUGGCUCCAAGCCCUGCCUCAGGGGAGGAGCGAGAACGCAGAGGCUGGUCCCGCGCUCCUCCUGCCGGCUGGAGGGGCGAGGGACGAGAGAGCAGCAAGAUAAACCGGAUAUCGGCGUAGACGCCUGAGGCUGAGGGUUUUCGGACGUGGGUUCGAUUCCCACCGCCUCCACCA